GACGAACGCUGGCGGCGUGCUUAACACAUGCAAGUCGAACGGAAAGGCCCUGCUUUUGUGGGGUGCUCGAGUGGCGAACGGGUGAGUAACACGUGAGUAACCUGCCCUUGACUUUGGGAUAACUUCAGGAAACUGGGGCUAAUACCGGAUAGGAGCUCCUGCUGCAUGGUGGGGGUUGGAAAGUUUCGGCGGUUGGGGAUGGACUCGCGGCUUAUCAGCUUGUUGGUGGGGUAGUGGCUUACCAAGGCUUUGACGGGUAGCCGGCCUUAGAGGGUGACCGGCCACAUUGGGACUGAGAUACGGCCCAGACUCCUACGGGAGACAGCAGUGGGGAAUAUUGCACAAUGGGCGGAAGCCUGAUGCAGCAACGCCGCGUGCGGGAUGACGGCCUUCUGGUUGUAAACCGCUUUCGCCUGUGACGAAGCGUGAGUGACGGUAAUGGGUAAAGAAGCACCGGCUAACUACGUG
rnacentral:rRNA from 1 species